AUACAAAAUUUCCGAAUUUGAGGAAUCAAGAGAAUCAAGAAUUCCAUCUGACACGAGUUUCAGAAUUCUUUGAAUGGAUAUGUGAACCAAACGUUUAUGCCCGAGUGAAAUAGAAUUCUCAUUAGUUAAUUUUUGGUACCAUUAAACUUGUAUGCAAAGUUUCUUUAUUUGAAGUUAUUGUAUCAACCAAAUAUAAGCUAUCAAAUGUUGAUAAAACACCAGUACCAAUANNNN
rnacentral:lncRNA from 1 species